AGGGAAUCUUCCGCAAUGGACGAAAGUCUGACGGAGCAACGCCGCGUGAGUGAAGAAGGUCUUCGGAUCGUAAAACUCUGUUGUUAGGGAAGAACAAGUAUCGUUCGAAUAGGGCGGUACCUUGACGGUACCUAACCAGAAAGCCAUGGCUAACUACGUGCCAGCAGCCGCGGUAAUACGUAGGUGGCAAGCGUUGUCCGGAAUUAUUGGGCGUAAAGCGCGCGCAGGCGGUCUUUUAAGUCUGAUGUGAAAGCCCACGGCUCAACCGUGGAGGGUCAUUGGAAACUGGAAGACUUGAGUGCAGAAGAGGAGAGUGGAAUUCCACGUGUAGCGGUGAAAUGCGUAGAGAUGUGGAGGAACACCAGAGGCGAAGGCGACUCUCUGGUCUGUAACUGACGCUGAGGCGCGAAAGCGUGGGGAGCAAAC
rnacentral:rRNA from 1 species